rnacentral:rRNA from 1 species
AACGAACGCUGGCGGCAGGCUUAACACAUGCAAGUCGAGCGCCCCGCAAGGGGAGCGGCAGACGGGUGAGUAACGCGUGGGAAUCUACCCAUCUCUACGGAAUAACGCAUGGAAACGUGUGCUAAUACCGUAUACGUCUUUCGGGAGAAAGAUUUAUCGGAGAUGGAUGAGCCCUCGUUGGAUUAGCGAGUUGGUGGGGUAAAGGCCUACCAAGGCGACGAUCCAUAUCUGUGCUGAGAGGAUGAUCAGCCACACUGGGACUGAGACACGGCCCAGACUCCUACGAGAGGCAGCAGUGGGGAAUAUUGGACAAUGUGCGCAAGCCUGAUCCAGCCAUGCCGCGUGAGUGAUGAAGGCCCUAGGGUUGUAAAGCUCUUUCACCGGUGAAGAUAAUGACGGUAACCGGAGAAGAAGCCCCGGCUAACUUCGUGCCAGCCGCCGCAGUAACAC